AUGCUGCCCUCAGCAAGUAAAGCAACAUGCACUGCUUUUUGGGAUAGGAAAGGACUGAUCCUUCUUGAUUUCCUGGAGUCCAGACAAACCAUCAACUCCAUCUGCUAUAUAUCAGCUGUUUAGGGAAAGGACGUAUAUGAAGCCUUCCUCAGACAACUGGAAGAAGUCUCACAUUUGCAGAUGUGUUCACCACCUCAGUAUCUGCCAGAAGGGCACCAGCAAGCCAGGAGGCUUUUGGAGUGCAGUGACAGCUUCCUAACACAGCACUCAGCUGACUCGGAGUCCACAAUUUUUCUCUUCAUACAGCCCAGAAAGAGUUCAGAGAAGAUUUACAAUUAUGAGGACAUAUAUCCCUCACAACAAAAGGAAAGCUGAAGUAAUCCAAAUGAUAUAUAAAAGUGAGCAUCUAUCAGCCAGGCCACAAAGCAACAUGGACAUCUACCAAAACGCAUAGGACUGCAGUAACAGAGCCUUACAUUAACCAUUUGAGACAUGAAUCUCACACAAGCCUCAGUGCUCAUUUAUAAGCCACUGUGAAGAAAAAUAUUUUAUCUUUUUUUUCCCCUAUACAGUGAUUGACACUAUUUUAUUCAAGCAAAUUCCUAGAGAGUGCUUACAUAAUAUGCAUACUUUAUUUUUCCCAAGAUUUGGUCAAUUUUUUUUUAUUUUUAUUUUAUUUUUUAUUUUUUUGGUAUUUAAAUGUUCCAUAUUUUCUAGAUUUUAAUGUGGGACCAGCAUACGUGACUGUGAGAUUCAUACUUUUACGUUUAGAACAUAAAUCCACAUGAUGCCUACUCUGAAAAUUAUUCAAAAUAUUAUUUGGGCAUGGAGGAGUUCCUAUGAGCAAGGACAAAUUCCUUUCAAGAACAGCUCGUGUCUUUUUAAGAUUAUCCACAUGUUGAUAAGGCCUAGAUGCUUUUAGGGUUUCUCUAAGAUUCCCC
ensembl:lncRNA